GAGUUUGAUCUUGGCUCAGAUUGAACGCUGGCGGCAUGCCUUGCACAUGCAAGUCGAACGGCAGCAUGAUCUAGCUUGCUAGAUUGAUGGCGAGUGGCGAACGGGUGAGUAAUACAUCGGAACGUGCCCUGUAGUGGGGGAUAACUAGUCGAAAGAUUAGCUAAUACCGCAUACGACCUGAGGGUGAAAGUGGGGGACCGCAAGGCCUCAUGCUAUAGGAGCGGCCGAUGUCUGGUUAGCUAGUUGGUGGGGUAAAGGCCCACCAAGGCGACGAUCAGUAGCUGGUCUGAGAGGACGAUCAGCCACACUGGGACUGAGACACGGCCCAGACUCCUACGGGAGGCAGCAGUGGGGAAUUUUGGACAAUGGGCGAAAGCCUGAUCCAGCAAUGCCGCGUGUGUGAAGAAGGCCUCGGUGUAAG
rnacentral:rRNA from 1 species